CUCUGUGUCUUGGCCUCUGGGCCCCAGCACCUCUCAAUUGUCAGACUCCUCCCUCCUGCAUGGGGCUCCCUCCCAGGGGUGCAAUGGAGGUCAUGGUCCUAGCCAGGAAUGGGAUGAUUGCAGGGAGAGCUCCCCCAGGGGGCAGAGAGAAAGCAGGAGAAAGCAGGAGCCUUUCUUCUUCAUCCCCCUUGGGGAGCUAAUUACAGGCCAGCAGCCCACUGCACAGGGUUCCCUGAUCUGCCCACCCCUCAAGAGUUCAGCCAACCACGUGUGGCAGCCCCCAGCCGGCAUUCCAAGGAAGACGAGUCUGAUCACAGGUUGCAUGUAAGAAACCAUGUGAAGAAAGGACCCUACUAUCUACAACAACAAGCUCCCUGGGGCACAGAGCCGGGGCUGAAAGCCAGACAAAGUUGCACUGUCCGAUACAUAGCAACAGCCAUAUGUGGCUAUUGUGCACCUGAAAUGCGACUAGUUCAAACUGUAAGUAUAAAAUACUACACUGGC